rnacentral:rRNA from 1 species
UACGUAGGGCGCAAGCGUUGUCCGGAAUUAUUGGGCGUAAAGAGCUCGUAGGCGGUUUGUCGCGUCUGUCCGUGAAAGCCCGGCGACUUACCGGUGGUCUGCGGUGGGUACGGGCAGACUAGAGGUAGGUAGGGGAGAAUGGAAUUCCCGGUGUAGCGGUGAAAUGCGCAGAUAUCGGGAGGAACACCGGUGGCGAAGGCGGUUCUCUGGGCCUGUACUGACGCUGAGGAGCGAAAGCGUGGGGAGCGAACAGG